CUUCCUAAUCCAGUCACCCGACAGAACCAUGCUCACCUGCUGCACUUCCCUCUAGAAUUUCUCUCUGGGCAGAUGAGGUCUUGUUUAGUUUAGUUUUGUGUUUUAAGUUGAAGGUUAAUCCCUUCUAAUGCAGAUGCCAUUUCCAGACCUGUGGCUCCAGCCAUGGCUUGCACGGGGAAAAAAAAAAAAGAGUCACAGCUGCUAUUCAUAGCUGGAUGUUUAAAAUUAAGAGCAAGGAAGCUCGUGCUGGGAGCUGACUCUGGGCUUGAUGCCUUGAGGCAUAUCAGGUAAUUCCUGCCUGGAAGGAGCAUGCGCUCCAACUGAGGUGACAAGUUGCACCCAGGAAAAGGCUGGGUGAGCUCACAGGCAUUGUGUCAUCACAAAUGUCACAGGGUGCUUGGGAGAGNNNNNNNNNNNNNNNNNNNNNNNNNNNNNNNNNNNNNNNNNNNNNNNNNNNNNNNNNNNNNNNNNNNNNNNNNNNNNNNNNNNNNNNNNNNNNNNNNNNCUCACAGGCAUUGUGUCAUCACAAAUGUCACAGGGUGCUUGGGAGAGCCCUGCCUCCAGCGAGGCACAGAGAUUGGUGGGCUCUUCAGGAAUCCAGGGUAGCGAAGACCCAGUGGGGUGGUCAGAGAAGCCUUCCUGGAAGAGGUGGGGUGGUGGCUGGGCUUUAAAGUCUUUGCAGAUGGAUGUUUGGGGAAGGGUUAUGUUUCAGACUAGGGAAAUAGCCCGGGGAGAGGAUUGGAGGUGGUAGAGCUCCAGGGCUUCCCUGAUAGCUCAGCUGAUAAAGAAUCCACCUGCAAUGCGGGAAACCUGGCUUUGAUUCCUGGGUCGGGAAGAUUUCCUGAAGAAGGGAAAGGCUGCCCAGUAUUCUAGCCUGGAGAAGUCCAUGGACAUUCCAUGGGGUCGAAAAGAGUCAGACACGCCUAAGCGACUUUCACUUUCACUUUCAGAGCUCCAGUAUGUCUGGAGGCCUGGACAUGGCUCAGCAUGGCAGGGGCAAAGGCUGGAGUCAGAGGCAAAGGGUUCCGUCUGCUGCGGAAAGACCAGGGAACCAUGGAGGUGCCUGAUGAAGAUGCUGCCGUGGAGGCUGCUGAGUCAGGGGAAGGAGGGAUGGAGAAAGGGCAUGCUUUCAGAAACAGUGAAGAGGCCGCAGGAGAAGGGGAGAUUCUGCCAAAGAGCAGGCCUUGCCUUGCUAUCCCUUGACCUGAUCUCCCUUCUGCCCAGAGCCAGGGCUGAUGGUGGGCCAGGGUGACUGGCAGCUAUAAUGACAGCCUGGAGAGUAGUCCUGUACAAGACACCUAUACAAGAGGAACACUCAGCACACAGACCAGCUUCCUAGGUUCAAAUCCCAGGUCUGUCCCAUUACGAGUUUCCCCGGUGGCUCAGAUGGUGAAGAAUCUGCCUGCAGUGCAGNNNNCCUGGGGCGGGGGGGGAGAUCCUCUGGAGAAGGGAAUGGCCACCCACUGCAGUAUUCUUGCCUGGAGAAUCCCCAUGGACAGUGGAGCCUGGCGGGCUGCAGUCCAGGGGAUCACGAAGAGUCAGAUACGACUGAGCACAGCCGAUGCAUACAUCCCAUGAAAGCCCACCAGCCACGACCACCAAGAACACACCUGGAGAAAAACAAAGUCAGGCAUGCUAGCCUGCUGCAGCAAGGCAGAGCACGCACCCUGGGAAAGCGUGGGGCACCUCCAAAGGGGCUUUAGAGAAGGGGCGCUUGUGGAGUCUGGGGGCUGGAGUUAAUCAUAGCCCAGUCUUGGUCAGGGUUGCUCAGCUACUGCUUCGCUGGAACAGUCAGAAGUCAUAUCUUUAGAACACACAAGCCUAUUUGGAAUUGCUGUCAGAUCAGUGUGUCUGUGGUCUUAUCUUGGAACAUAUGGGUGUGAGUGAGCUGGUGUCAAAAGAAUCUGAGCUUAGAUAGUCUGUGCUACGCCAUUUAUCUGUUUUGUGAGUCACUGCACAGGCCUUUUUGUAAGUUGUGGCUUCUGUUUCAAAUCUCAGUUCGCUUUGUAAGGCCUGGACGCCCUCAGGGCCAUUUCCUAUCUCAGGCUGGUCUGUGGGCAGGUUACAUUGCCCUUCCUGCGGCUGGUUUCUUCACUGAGCAAGUGGGGACAGUAGGAGCACAGACACCAUGGGGUCCUGGGGAUUACAGUUAGUAUAUGUGAUGCAUCUAACAGUGCCUGGCACACAGUAGGUCCAGUGUAAAUGUGAGCCAUCCUUAUAACCACAAGCCUUUAAGACUGAGAUGUGUGGAUGGCUCCACUGCCUCCAAAGAAAAGAUAGCCCUUAAGUUUAUUUUCUACUUACCGAGGGGAAAGGGCACACUGAUAUGAGUUACUCUGACCAAACAGGAUGGUGUCCUAGGGAGCAGGCUCCACCACCUAGAAUAAAGCCGUCGUCUUUGACUGGUGUCAUCUUCUAAGAAGGUGGGAAGGCAGGGGAUCAGAGGAUGCUUUGAGACUUGGGGCACAUCUUCAGGGAAAGAUGGUGACACCUUCUUCCUUGAUUUAGUCAAGGGCAGAGCAGGAAGGAAGGGACUAAAGCUUGGGCACUACAAGUGUGGAUUUCAUAAAGACUAGGCUGACUCUGGCUUGUUAAGUAUCGGAGUGGGGAGGCUGAGAGGCUGUGGACUCCCGGCCACAUCUGAGUCUGAAGGAAAUUGUGGUGCAGUGGUGGGACCUCUGCCCUGGGCGUCAGGUCGCCUGGGUCCCAGCUCAGAACUGCUUCUAAUAGACCGGCAUUCCUGCUUAGUCGCUCAGUUGUGUCCAGCUCUUUGUAUAGAGCUAUAGCCCACCAGGCUCCUCUGUCUGCGAGAUUUUUCAGCUGAGAAUACAGGAGUGGAUGGCCAUUUCCUCCUCCAGGGGAUCUUCCCAAUCCAGGGAUCAAAUCUUUGUCUCCUGUGUCUCCACCAUUGUGGCUAGAUUCUUUACCUGCUGAGCCAUCAGGGAAGCUCUAACUGAGAGAUGGCUUUCUAGGACUCAUUUCUCAUCCCCUGUGUCUUAACCUCCCUACUUGUAAAUGAAGAAUUUAUUGGAGUUGUACGCAUUUACAUAUAGGAUGCCAGGUGGAGUUGGCUGUUGACAAGGGUUGUGUAUUUGUGAUUUUCACUGCCAUUGCCAAACCUCUCCAUUGAGGUUGCACCAAGUUGGACUGCCAAGUUGUGAUGUGGUGAGGGGGUGGUGGGUGGGAGGUCCUUGGUGACCCCACCGAUACAUCUUCCGCCUCUAAAGUUGCGUGCUAGCAGGGUCCCACUCUGCUUCGGCUCCAUUUCUUAAGGCACUAAAUGCUUCGCCGGGUUGGGCUUCACGCUCCUCCCCUUGCACUGUGCUUUUCUGCUCUUCAGCUGGUCCCAGAGGGAGAGAGAGAGAGAAUGAGAACGCAUGAAUGAGAAAGUUCUAGAGGCUCAGUGUCUCAUCUGUGAAAUGCCAGCAAUCGUCAUCCUUCCACCUUCUGCACCCACACGCUUGGCUCCCCACAGUCAGCGUGGAGAAAGAGGAGCCGGCCAGCCAGCUGUGUGAGUUAUGGUGAAGGUCAGAGCUCCCUGGGUCCUGAGACUGGACCCCUUAGGUCCAGUGUUCUGUCUUCAGGAUCAGGAUCAUUACUCAUUAGCUUCACAAGACUCCUGAUUCUUGGUGGAAUUUUACCCCAGGGAGGUGCUUAGGGCCUCAAUCUUGCUUGUGACCUGGAGCCCUGCCCAGAAACACUCAGAGCUGUCACCAAUAACUGUCCAUAAUAAUGGGCUUAGCUUUAGGGAGGGCCUUUCUGACAGAUAGACAAGUUCAAGCCAUCACAGAGGAAGUGAAACAGACCCAGAGAGUGGAACCGCCGCUGUCCCCCCAUUUUCAUCACUGACGUGGCACAUGGUGAAUUAGCUUUCUGAAUCCUUUCCUCAACUGUCCAGGCCACUAAAAGUGGUCAGCAAGCAAUCGCCUGAUUUUCUACAUAUGCCUUUGUAAUGUUCGCAGGACACCCCCCCCCACACACACACGCACAUACAUACACUCAUUAAUUAAGCAUCUCUUGGGCACCAGUGUGUGCCCGGUGCAGAUGAUCAAGACCCCGCCUCCACCCUGGGGAAGUUGCUGAGACAGGCUCCCUGUGACAAAGCAUGGGGCGGAAUUGACGUGUCAGAGGCAAGGCAUGCAACACAUGCCUGAUGGCUCCAGGCUCUCUCCUCUGCUCCUCAGGGGCAGCUCUCUUAGUUUGCAUUCCCCUAACAUCCAGUUAUUUCCAGAGUUGAAGGAAGGGAGAGAACCGGAGUAGAAAGGAGAGGACUGCUCCCGGAGAAGGUGGGUGAGGGCUUGCAGGAGACAGCUGCAGCUCUAGCCUUUGCUGCGUUCACAGGGUCACCGGAGGUGUCUUUGGGUUGGGCAAAUUUGCUGAAAGAUGCAGUGACUUUGGCUGGAGAAAGGAAAAAGACACGUUUCCUGGAGGCCCCUGGUUUAGCCUUUGCUGAUGAGGUGAUGCCACAUGGCCACGAUUAAUAGGAAACGUGGGUCAGAUGAUGGUUUUUCACCUUUGCACCAAGAGGGGCUGCAUGGAGUCACUUGCCUUUUCCUGUCAAAUCCCCUUUACCACUGCUCCAUUCAACACACCCACUGUGUGCGAGCCGUGANNNNNNNNNNNNNNNNNNNNNNNNNNNNNNNNNNNNNNNNNNNNNNNNNNNNNNNNNNNNNNNNNNNNNNNNNNNNNNNNNNNNNNNNNNNNNNNNNNNCUCCAUUCAACACACCCACUGUGUGCGAGCCGUGAACUACACUGUGGAAGUCUUGCCUCAUGGAGUUGACACCCUAUGUGUGUCUUCAGCUGUGGUCCAGUACCCAUCCCAGGGAGGGUCACUUGGAUCUUUAAAAAGAAUUCCCAAGGGGUGAAGCUCUCCUGCUGGAAUCUCAGGCAUGAGUCAGAUAUUUAAGAUGGUUUACCCGACGUGAACAAAAUUGGAGGGUGUUUGAAGAAACCAGAUUCAACCAAGUAGCUGGAUGUGUCCUAAUGAUGAUCCUGGGCUGGACCAU
rnacentral:lncRNA from 1 species